AGUUUUUAGAACAUAAUAAGACAAUUUCACCUAAAAAGAAAAACUGUUUUCCAAUAGCACAUAGAAUGUAUUUGAAACACAUCAAUAGAUACAUACAUCCAACAUAUAACCUGUCUUAUUCGCUAUCUAAAUUUACAAGACGGCCAAAAUACGAACGAGACAUUUUUUCGCGUUGGUCAAUAUCCUAUUGUACUUAAAACUAGGUGGACCAUUGUUUUAUUUGAUAUCUGCCCAAAUCAGUCGAAAUAAUACUAUUAAUUUUGGCAUAACUUAGGGACAACCAAUGGACAACAUACAUAAGUGGACCUAAUCAAAAACGAAUAUUAUAUGGUUUAAUCUACUAAUUUUACAUUAAAAAAAAAUCUAUGACAGACGUACGGACAGUGGAAUAUAAUGGAAUAUUAGGGUUCCUUUGGAGGUACGGAACCCUAAAAUGUACGUGCUACACUUUAAUGUCAAAGGAUGAUAUAAAUAGGACUAUUUUUAUUGGUAGUUAAAUGAGGAGAGGAGAUCAUCAAAUUUACAAAAUUGUAUCAAAAUCUGACGAAUAAAAAUCGAUAACAAGAUAAAACAUUGCCCAAUAAGUAAAGGAUUACCCAAUGCCUUAACAAACCUUAUUUAUUAAGGAUAUUAAAAUUAAUAAUAUGAAAACCCCAUCGAUGUCUCUAUCUCAUGCCAAGCUAGUUUGUAAAGGAAAUUUUGAGCACGCUUUUUGGAAUACUGUAUCAAAAUUGGUCUAUGUCGGAUGAACCAUACCCGUUAAAAAAUUUCACAAAUUCACGAAGUAGCUUUUAAGCUGUUAUUAAAUCUUGUUUUAGUUUUCUUUUUUUAAGGAUUUGAUUACACAAUGUGUAGAGUUUAAUAGUACAGUCCUAGACAUAGACCUAAUUAUAAUUAAUCUAUCAAGCUAUGAUACAUAAAUAAAUAUACAAGACAUCAUACUUUAUUACUAGACCAAUGAUUUGCUAUUUCGGAAUUCUGCUAAAAUACUUUUAUCGCAGUAAAUCUAAUUGAAUACCAAUGUAUUCUUUCCAUAAAACUCAAGUUCCACAAAGCUCAACUGCAAAUUAUUUUAUCGUUAAAUAAUCUAUAACCAUAGUCACAAAGGAAUUUCUGGCAUCCCGUGAUAGAAACAGUAUUUCCUUAAUAGCAGAGGCCAUAGAGUAAAAAAACUAACGACAUUUUUUUGUAUGAUUUUUUUGUAUGACGAUUUCGUGUAUAUAGUUAUAUAUCAUAGCUAUAUUAAAUAAUAGUCACAUCCGUAACGCAAUAGUUUAAAUUCGUUAGUAAAUACAGUACCCUCCGGGGUAAAACAGUCUUACCUAUGUAUUCUAACAUUUCUAACCAGUAUAUAAACCAAUGUAAAAUUUAAUAUAUUUAUGUAUCCAAUAUGAUCUAGCCAUUUCCAAUUUAUUUUUGAAUGGCUAUAAAAAUCUAUAUAAAUAAAUGCACUGUGUGAUAUAAGAAAAACCUAUUCACGUAAUACAUAUUGGCUGUAUUGCUAUCUUGCAUCUCGUUCUUUGUUUGGUCAUUAGAGAAAGACAGAACUUAGUCACUAGUUACCAAUACAACAAAUAUGAGCAAAGAAAAAAGUUAAACAGAGAGCGAAAUAUGUGAGAUCUCAAUUAUGUCCAAUUAUUAAAAUAUUUUGCUCGUUUAAAAUUAUUAUUAAUAUAAUUUGCUCGUAAAUUUUG